rnacentral:lncRNA from 1 species
AAAAACGAAAAUUCUGUAUGUUCUUAUAUAGGCCCACGGUUUUAAUGAAUAGAAAUAGGCCCAAAUACAAACAAUAAGGGCCCAGAUGAUUGAAAAAAAUUCACGCACAGGAGGGACGAGGGAAAGUGGGAUUUGGGAAACAAAAAGACGCUGAUCACGCACAGGAGACAAAAGGUCGACGCUGAAUCGCUGAUCAGUUCCUAAUUCCUUAUCAGUAUUGCACGCACAGGAGACAAGGAUUUCGGAAUCGAAUCAGAUUAUCGGAGUAUAUCAGUCGCAAAUCGCAAUUAUCAUCAGUUUGAGAAUCGGAGGUAUAUCAGUCGCAAUUAUCAUCAGACAUUCAGACUUUCGGAAUCGGUCAUCGGAGGUGAAUGUGGAUUAAAUGAGCUCAAAUGAACAAAAGAAGCAAAAAGACAGCUAAAUCUGACAUAAAUACAAGAAAAGGAAUAAACGAGGCAUGUCCGACCCCCUGAUAGCAUCUUCCCAAG